rnacentral:pre_miRNA from 1 species
AGUGGAAUUGCUAGGUCAUAAGGUAAUGUUUAAUAUGGAACUGCUAGACUGAUUUCUAAAGUGACUGCAUCAUUCUGUAUUCCCAGUAGUAAU